GAUGAACGCUGGCGGCGUGCUUAACACAUGCAAGUCGAACGAUGAAGCCCAGCUUGCUGGGUGGAUUAGUGGCGAACGGGUGAGUAACACGUGAGUAACCUGCCCUUAACUCUGGGAUAAGCCUGGGAAACUGGGUCUAAUACCGGAUAGGAGCGUCCACCGCAUGGUGGGUGUUGGAGAGAUUUAUCGGUUUUGGAUGGACUCGCGGCCUAUCAGCUUGUAGGUGUGGUAAUGGCUCACCAAGGCGACGACGGGUAGCCGGCCUGGGAGGGUGACCGGCCACACUGGGACUGAGAGACGGACCAGAGUCCAACGGGGGGCAACAGGGGGGAGUAUGGCACAGUGGGCGCAAGCCUGAUGCAGCGACGCCGCGUGAGGGAUGACGGCCUUCGGGUUGUAAACCUCUUUCAGUAGGGAAGAAGCGAAAGUGACGGUACCUGAAGAAGAAGCACCGGCUAACUACGUG
rnacentral:rRNA from 1 species